AAGUGACAUAGCAAGGAGACUCAUAUUUAAGCGAAGGAGAAAGAGGAAGGGCCCUUUUUCCCCUUGCUCCUCCUCCAGCCGCACAAUGUGAUCCACCGGCAAGGAGGGACACCAAAAAGGCAUCCAAUAAGAUAAGUCUUAUGAAAUAUAUAGAUUUAUGAUUAAGACUGAGCUAGCAGAUGAGAAUCCUAGUCAUUGGUCAAGCAGCUUUGAACGUAAUACAAGUAAUUCAUUUGGGCCCUGACUCGGGCGGGCGGCUGGUGUGAAGCUCACAUGUGACGGUGGGGCUCAGGCGGCUUUUGGCAGAAAGAUUUAUCAUAAAAAAUGACAUUUUGAUCCAAUUUCUUUCUGGAUCCUCUGACAUUGAGUGUAUCUGAUGAAGGGAGUGGCCGGCUGAACUUGAAUCUCUUGACUUUCCUGCAGUUUAGGCUGGGGCUGAGCCUGGACAAAUGUCAGAUAUUUCGUGGAGUUUUUUUCCUCCUAGGGGAUUUCCCUUCUUUGUAUACCAGAAGACUGUACCAUCCACAGCAGCUUCUCCAGUGCUCCAAAGAUACCACAGUUCCUACCUCUUGAAUUCCUUACUGAGGCUUCCACAGGAGGUCAGUUCAUCAAUAGCCUUCUUCCCAAGAUGGUGCCCAACAACAACACUCUCAGACAUGGCUGAAUCAAUGCUGCCCUCAAUGUGGCUGGAUACUAAUUGCCCGAAAGUGACUGGAGACCAAAGUGCCCCAGACUGAAUAACUGUUCCUAUCUUAUAUACCUCAAGUGCUGGGAUUAAAGGUAUGUGACCCCAAGUGCUGAGAUAUCCUUUGUGUGAGCUGUUUCUCUGUUAGACUGGAUCAAUUUCGUGUACCUCAGUGUGGCCUUAAACUAACGAAGAACCGUCUAAGUCUGUCUCCUGAUCCUGGGAUUAAAGGUGUCCAUCACCAAUGCCUAGCUUCUAUAGCUAACUAGUGUGGCUGGCUUUGUAUUCUUAUAUUUUCAGGCAAACUUUAUUAAAUCAUAAAUAAUAUAUCACCACACAUGUUCUAUUGCUAUUAUGGGGGCACAUAAACAGACAUGGCACUGGAAAGGCAGCUGAGAGUUCUAUAUCUUGAUCCAUAGGCAGCAGGAAGAAAGACACCUCAAUGCCCAUAUCCAGUGACACACUUCCUCUAACAAUGUCCCUCAAAGAGGACACACCUGCUAAUAGUGCCACUCCCUAAUGACUAAGCAUUCAAAUCUAUGAGCCUAUGGGACCAAUUCUUAUUAAAGCACCAC
rnacentral:lncRNA from 1 species